GAUGAACGCUAGCGGCAGGCCUAACACAUGCAAGUCGGAGGGGUAACAGAGAAUAGCUUGCUAUUUUGCUGACGACCGGCGCACGGGUGCGUAACGCGUAUACAAUCUACCUCUUACUGAAGGAUAGCCCAGAGAAAUUUGGAUUAAUACUUCAUGGCAUCUAUUUAUGGCAUCAUAAAAAGAUUAAAGAUUACGGUAGGAGAUGAGUAUGCGUUCUAUUAGCUAGAUGGUGUGGUAACGGCACACCAUGGCAACGAUAGAUAGGGGCCCUGAGAGGGGGAUCCCCCACACUGGUACUGAGACACGGACCAG
rnacentral:rRNA from 1 species